rnacentral:misc_RNA from 1 species
GAAAUGCGAUAAAUAAUAUGAAUUGCAGAAUUCAGCGAAUCAUCGAGUUUUUGAACGCACAUUGCGCCCUCUGGUAUUCCGGAGGGCAUGUCCGACCGAGCGUCGCGUCACCGCUCAAGCCCCCGGGCUUGGUGUUGGGGCCUCGCGGGACCCUCGCGUCCCGCGGCCCUCAAAUGCAGUGGCGGUCCCUCCGUGGGCUUCUCCCUAGCGCAGUAGAGCAUUCAGCUGCCGUUUCGGAGCCCGGAGGCGGCCUGCCGUUAAACAACCCGACGGUGGCAGCUCCGGCUGCCUCCUUCACCCAAGGUUGGCCUCGGGUCGGACAAGAUUACCCGCUGAACUUAA